UGGCAGCAGCCAGGGGAAGGAUUCUGCAGAAAAGAACUGCCCAGAGAUGCUGUGACCACCUGAUAUACUGCUUACAGGAGUAAUCAGGCUCCUGGACUCACCAGGAACAGAACUGGGUUAGCAGCCAGUAUUUUUUUUAACAUCUCAGCCCAAGUAUAGAUCAAUCAACAAGAUGGAGAAGAAAGGAAACAGUUCAUUCCCAUUCUUCAGACAGAUUAGACUAUGGUGGUGUUCCAGAUACUGCAAGACUGCUUUGAUCUCCACAACAAGAGAUUUGCUUAUCAUAAUAACUCUUAAAACUCAAUAUACAAAACUGAGUCACUUGGGAAAUUUCUGUAUAUUUUUUUUUAUUUUAUUUUAUUAUUUUUUUUUGGAGAUGUUUUUCAUUCAUUCUCCAUAUAUGCAAUGAUUGAACACAGGUACACACAGUUUGCCACUGGGUAAAUUAUCUGUAUGGUUAUCUUAAUGGUAAAUUAAUGUAUGAUUAUUAAGCAGACAUCAUAGUUUUGUGGGUAAAAUGGACUUCCCAUAUUUAAAGGGCAUUACCUUAAAACAGGGUCAGGGUUGUUUUCAUAUAAUUCUUUGCAUCUUUUAUUCUCUGUUUCAGAUAACUCACUGGUUGCUAACAUGUAAUUAUCUUUUAGAAUCCUCAAAUCCUCCACAUUAAUUAGAAAUCUUUAAAUCUUCCUUAGAAGCAGUACAUUAUGACAGUAUUAGAUCUAAUUUUCAUAACAUUUUAACUUCACCUAGCUACGAGCUAGUUACAUUUCUUUUGGUUAAAAUUUACAAUAUAAUUGCCCUAGUAGUGGGAAAUGGCAUCUAGGAAGGCAGAUUGGUCCAUAACUAUACCUUCGCUAUGUAUAGUUUGAUUCAAUAUUUUUCAGGAUAGCCUGUACUAAACAAGUGGUUCAUUCAGAAUCAUACCAUGGAUGGUGCAGUACCUCACAACCCCUAAUUAUGCUGACUUGUUGAAACAUUUUGAAUUCAAUAUAGUUUAUCAAAAGCAAAACUUUUAAUAUAGAAGGCUAUAACUCCCAUCUCUUGCCAUUUAGAUAGGUGCUAUAAAUCUGUGGAAACCAAAUAAGCCAGAAAUAAUGUGAAAUGGCAGAAGGUGAAUCAAUAAUAUGCAA